UGUGCUCACUCAGGAGAGAAAGCCUCUAGGCCGUCACUGACUCACCUGUGUGUGCAGCUGUGCCUUCUCCCAAUGUCACUUCUCUUGCCCACCAUUGCUCCAGGAGAUGCGAUUCCACUCCCAGCACCCUGCUUCUGACUCUGAUCCUGACUCAGCUGCCUGAGCCAAGGGCUGGGGAACAGGCAGGGAUAUUGGACUGUGCUCUUCAGCAUCCAAAGGGGACAUGUGCUGCCUGCCAGGGCUCUGGAAAGCUUCCCCAGGGUGAGAAAACAGAGACUCGGAGCAUUAAAAUGACUUGUUCAAGGUCCCAGCAUUACAAAUCAGAUCAAACCAUGGAUGAAUGGAUCCAGCCUUUGUGUCUGUUUGCCCUUCAGUUGCAGAUGUCGGGAAAGGAGCUGAGCAGGAAGAGAAAGGGAGCCAGCACUGUGCUGGGGUCUUUACGCCUCACCGAAUCCACAGCCAGUCCUGUAGCAGUAGAGAGCGAGUCUUCUUCCCCCUGCUUUCACCAGCCCUGGGAGCCAGCCAUCACCUCCUUCUGUGCCAACCUGAAGGAUGACAAUUAAUUCGUUUCAGUGUUAUUUUUACUUGAGUUGGCCUGCUUACAAAUGACGUUGAACUGCUUUUCAUGUUUAUUGUUCUCCAGCCUUUUAAUUUGUACCUCAUCUCUUUCCUCGGCACGCACAUACCACUCCUCGCCUGUUUAUAACAUUGUUCUCUGGGAAAAGUCAAUUUCUGGUCCAAGAUGCAGUUUUGAGGAACAAGCUGUGUUCACAGCCUGCUUGUGCUCACAACAGAAACAGGUGCAAGGGGUGGAAAAGAGGGGUUGAGACAGCAGUUUCUCCAGAGCCUUUGGGGUUCAUUUCAUCUUCCGCCUGACUCUGAACUUGAAGAAGAUAGAGGCCUGGAUUAUUCUCCAUUUAUAGUCACCCUCCAUCCAUUCUCUGCUCUGCAUUGUACCCAGAGGCUGACCUCCAGGGAUGACAUCACAGUUCCCUUGCUUUCCAGCUUCCAGUUUGGACCAGCCAGUGAUAGGCAUCAUAAUGAGAAAAGACAGGGGGACAGAGUUGAGAAAAUUUUUGUAUCCCACACUGGUAUUAGGUUCCUAGAGCUGCCAUAACAAAUUAUGACAGACUUGGAUGGCUUAAAACAACAGGAAUGUAUUCUAUGACAGUUCUGGAAGACAGAGGUUUGAAGUCAAAGUGCCGGCAGGGUUGGUUCCUGCUGGUGGCUCCGAGGGGGCACCUGCUUCAUGCCUCUCUCCUGGCUUCUGGCAGCUGCUGCCAUCCCCGGUGUUCCUCGACUUGUAGGUGCAUCACUCCAACCUCUGCCUCCAUCUCCACAUGGUGUUCUCCUCUCUGGGUCUGAGUCUGUCUCUGUCUCUUCUCCUAUUAUAAGGACACCAAUCAUAUUGGAUUAAAGACCACCCUAAUCUAGUAUGGCCUCAUCUUAAUUAUUAUGGCCUGAUUUCAUCACAAAGACUCUAUUUCAAAAAAAAAAAAACCCAUAUUCACAGAUACCAGAGGUUAGGACUUCAAUAUAUCUUUGGAAGGAUACAGUUCAACCCAUAACACACCCCUGCCUGGCCACUGCUCUGGCUCUGGAUGGCUCCUCUGAGCCACCACACAUAUCCAGUGGCCUGUCUUUCACAUCCAAUAUACUAUUUCCUCUCCCAACCCUUUCUGGGCAUGCUGCUAGUGUCCAGGGGCCUCACCAUCUUUUGUCCUUGCUCUGCCCACACCGCCUUUACUCACAGUCCCUUCACUGAACCCUCCUCAGCGGCACUCUAAGUGCUCAUCUCUUUCCUGGCUGAUAAACUGGCCCAUGGCCAAAUUGGAAGUCAGGAAAAUGCAAGAGUAUUACAAAGAACAUUUGUGGAGCUUGACCUGCAUCUUUGGUGUGUGACAGGCACAGAGAUGGCCGCACCACCUAGGUGUAAAGGAAUGCAUGAGAAGCUGGCUGAAACAACCUGGGAGCAAACUGCCUUCCACCCACAGCUGGACAGAGGUACAUCCUGGGUUUUAGCCCCAGGGCUGCAUUAUGGAAGCCAGAUGGGUCAUUUUGAAAAGACCAAAACUGCCUUCUCUCUCAGGACAAGGCAACCUCAGCAGGUAGGAACUUUCCUACCCCUUUCUUCCAUCCUACUCAGGGGGAGCAAGAGGUAGUGUGGGAAAGAGGGUAGAGAAGGCCAGAAGAGCAAUUCAGAGAAAAACUGUCGAUGCUGGCUGCAUCCUCAGUGCCCCCACUCAACAAGGUUCCCCAUCCAGAAGUAGGCUCACAGCUGGGGAAGUUGAAACUUGAAAGAAAUUCUGAAUUUUUGUUACUACUCAGAAGUGAACGUUGAAACUAUGAAGAUGAGACUGUUCUUGUGAUUGAAAGUGAACAAAGAAUGUUUUUACCUAAGAUUGACAAGAGAAGUUAUGGUACUGUGUAGCAAUUUCAUUUUGGAUGCAAGGAAGAAUGGUCCACAGACCAGGUCUGAUGGGAUAGUGGUGGAAAACAAUAAAUACACAUAAAUACUUGUCUCCUGCUAGCACCUUGUCAGGUUCCACUCAUUCUAUGUGCUUGAUAAAAGGAGCUAGAGCUAGAGAUAUGAAUAUAAAUAUAGAUCCAAUAAACAUCAGAAACAAGUGUAAAUAAAGUAGAAAGAUGAAUCAAGAGAUAGCAUACAUAAAUAUGGGGUUCACAGGGUCAGACAAGGGUAAAAGUCUGGACUGCAAAUAUGGCUCUGAGAUUCCUGGCAGCCGAAGGAAGACAAUCAAUUAUGAAUUUGAAUCUGUCCAUGGAAAGUCAAGCAUAGUAGUUUCCUGGAUGAAACAAUGCCUUUCUUGUAUUCAAGCCUUCAAUUUUUCAUGUGGUUCUUCAAACAGGGUCCACUGAUUUAGUGUCAAUAUCCUCACCAACGAGCUACAAUAAAUACUGUAGAGAGUUUCACCUGUCAGCUCCCUACAUCAUCUAUCAAAAGAAGCUGAGAACAGGGCAGAAAACUCACGUUCAUGGAAAGUUAACACAAUUGGAUAUAAGCAGGUCAUUCCCCCUGGUCUGGCUUGAUGGGUUUUUACUGUUUUCAUUGGAGCAGCCAUUAGAAGGGUGCACACCUGAUGAAUUUCACAAAUCAGGAGAUGGGGGCAGCACGGGCAGAGGGAAGGACCCUGUGAAUAGCAAAGAGGUCACUAUUUUUCAUCAUCCACAUUCCUCAGGAAAGAAAACUCAUCCAUCACUGGCAGCAAACACUGGCACAAAAGGUCUAACCUGCUCAGGUGACUGAGGCAACCUCAGGCUUUCCACGGUACCCAGAAGGCACCAUAUAUGUGAAAUAUAUUUUCUUUUUGAGGAAGAUUUGAUUUUUUUCUAGGUUUUGAUUCACAAAACACAAUUAGGAGCUUAUUCGUGUUAAUUCCAACUACAACUGAACACCGAAGCUGAAAGGUGUCAGAAAAUGAAAUGAUCUUCCAUCAAGAUUAAAUAUGUGUGUCCUGAAAGACUGUAUUUCAAAAGUAGAGUUAUUCUAACAAGAAAUUGAUUUGGAUGUACAAGUAUACUAUUAUUCAAAUAACUUUCAAACAUAACAGGGCUUAGAGAAAAAAUGCCAUUUUCUACCUCAACAGAGCAUGUAAUGGUUUGUCACUGCAUGUAAAGUUUAAUUUGUACAAAAACUCAAUAUGUCUUCCUGAAGCCCUCCCUCUCUGAGACCCAGGCGGGGCUGUCUGGACCUCCUUUCUCACUUCUGUCUGCCUGUGAAGUUUUAGGAAUGAAUGAAUAUGAGAGUCUAUCACCAGCUACACUCCUCCCAACUCCACUUAAACUACAAGGAAGAUUAAAGAUGGUCUUUGGAAGGAAAUUCCCAAACCACAUGGGCAUCACCACAGUUAGGAACUAAGUCAGUGCUAACCAGAGAGAGAGAG
rnacentral:lncRNA from 1 species